AUGCAUGUUUUGGAGGUUGAAGGUAUUGAGUUUUCCACCUACCAAUUGAAAUAUAUAAUGUACCAGUCGUACGAAGAGUAGGAAUAAUACAAGAUAGAGGAUGUUGGUUUUUCCUUGUAAAAGCAUUUCUAUACUACAUUUCUAGACCGCUUGCUUUCUCAGAAGUUAAGAAAGGCAAAAGCAGAAGAAUACGUGAAUCUAAGGUAAGGUA
rnacentral:lncRNA from 1 species